rnacentral:rRNA from 1 species
GGGGGUAUCUAAGAUGGAUUUGCAACCAAUGUUUUGAGGCCAGCUUGCUGGUACCCAAACAUUGUUAACAUUUUUUAUCUUGGAUAUUCGAGUACGGCUUACGUGCAUUUUUUGUAUUGAUCUAAGUGCAAGUUACGGUCGCAUGCGACACGUGCUUUUCAUUUAGUUCGGUGCAGUUAAUGCUCUCGUACUCUCCCCCCAUGUAAAAGCCGGUCAUCUAUUUGACCCGUCUUGAAACACGGACCAAGGAGUUUAUCGUGUGCGCAAGUUUUUGGGUGUUAAAAACCUAGAAGCGAAAUGAAAGUAAAUGAUUCUUUAGAGUCUGAUGUGCAAUCUUUUUUCAGAAAAGUGCAUCAUGGCCCCAUUCUAACUGUUUACAGUAGGGUGGCGGAAGAGCGUACGCGGUGAGACCCGAAAGAUGGUGAACUAUUCCUGAGCAGGACGAAGCCAGAGGAAACUCUGGUGGAAGUCCGAAGCGGUU